AGCGAACGCUAGCGGCGGGCCUAACACAUGCAAGUCGAGCGGGGAGCUUCGGCUCCUAGCGGCGGACGGGUGAGUAACACGUAGGUAAUGUACCUUCUGGUAAGGGAUAACACAGGGAAACUUGUGCUAAUACCAUAUAAUGCCUCGCAAGAGGUGAAAGUCGCAAGACGCCGGAAGAGCAGCCUGCGUCCCAUUAUUUAAUCCUAGUUGGUAGGGUAACGGCCUACCAAGGGUACGAUGGGUAGCUGGUCUGAGAGGAUGAUCAGCCACACUGGAACUGAGACACGGUCCAGACUCCUACGGGAGGCAGCAGUGGGGAAUAUUGCGCAAUGGGCGAAAGCCUGACGCAGCCACGCCGCGUGAGUGAUGAAGGCCUUCGGGUUGUAAAGCUCUGUCGGGAGGGACGAAGACCGAAAGGUUUGACGGUACCUCGCAAGAAAGCACCGGCUAACUCCGUGCCAGCAGCCGCCGUAACAC
rnacentral:rRNA from 1 species